rnacentral:rRNA from 1 species
UACAGAGGUCUCAAGCGUUGUUCGGAUUCAUUGGGCGUAAAGGGUGCGUAGGUGGCGCGCUAAGUCGGGUGUGAAAUUUCGGAGCUUAACUCCGAAACUGCAUUCGAUACUGGCGUGCUUGAGGACUGGAGAGGAGACUGGAAUUCAUGGUGUAGCAGUGAAAUGCGUAGAGAUCAUGAGGAAGACCAGUGGCGAAGGCGGGUCUCUGGGCCGUAACUGACGCUGAGGAGCGAAAGCAUGGGGAGCGAACAGG